AACGAACGCUGGCGGCGCGCUUAACACAUGCAAGUCGAACGAGAAGGCGUAGCAAUACGCUUGUACAGUGGCGAACGGGUGAGUAAUACGUGGGCGACCUACCCUCGAGUGGGGAAUAACCCGCCGAAAGGCGGGCUAAUGCCGCGUACGCUUCCAUCUUUAUGGAGGUGGAAGGAAAGCCGUGCCGUGGGCACGGCGCUCAAGGAUGGGCUCACGUCCUAUCAGCUUGNGGUAGGGUAACGGCCUACCAAGGCUCCGACGGGUAGCUGGUCUGAGAGGACGAUCAGCCACACUGGCACUGCGACACGGGCCAGACUCCUACGGAGGCAGCAGUGAGGAAUAUUGCGCAAUGGGCGAAAGCCUGACGCAGCGACGCCG
rnacentral:rRNA from 1 species